AGCAGCCGCGGUAAUUCCAGCUCCAAUAGCGUAUAUUAAAGUUGUUGCAGUUAAAAAGCUCGUAGUUGAAUUUCGGGGUCAGCAGGUCGGUCGUGCCAAUGGUAUGCACUGGCCUUGCUGAUUCCUCCCUCUUGAUGAGCCGUAAUGCCAUUAAUUUGGUGUUGCGGGGAAUCAGGACUGUUACUUUGAAAAAAUUAGAGUGUUUAAAGCAGGCAAGCGCUUGAAUACAUUAGCAUGGAAUAAUGAAAUAGGACGUUCGAUCCUAUUUUGUUGGUUUCUAGGAUUGACGUAAUGAUUAAUAGGGAUAGUUGGGGGCAUUAGUAUUCAAUUGUCAGAGGUGAAAUUCUUGGAUUUAUUGAAGACUAACUACUGCGAAAGCAUUUGCCAAGGAUGUUUUCAUUAAUCAAGAACGAAAGUUAGGGGAUCGAAGACGAUCAGAUACCGUCGUAGUCUUAACCAUAAACUAUGCCGACUAGGGAUCGGAUGAUGUUAAUUUUUUAAUGA
rnacentral:sRNA from 1 species